rnacentral:lncRNA from 10 species
CUGAGUGUUUCCCUGGGGGUGCAAAUCCCUCCAGAGCUGUCUCUUUCUCUGUUACAGCAACCAGUUAUGUGCAAGAUGGUGGCCACUCUGACUACCCGGGUAACAAAGGGACAAUGCCACCACCCAGGAUUAACAGCUGUGACUUACCAUUUCCCCCAACUACUGCCGGCUGGUCAGGGAAAGAAAUCAUGAGACUGCCGAGCCGCUUGCUCUACCCCGGGGAGCGACAGGAGAAGCAGGUGUGGCUGAAGAUGCAAAGGUCUGAGGUUCCUUUGCUGCGUGUCAACUCCUGGCCUCGCAGCUGUGAAUGCCCAGCUUUUUACCUUCUCCGUGUUAUGACGACAGGAACACUCACAUUUCACUUGCUCAAAAUAACGUGCAUGUCAUACGAAAAGUGAACUUGAUCUCUUGAACUUCCAGAAAACCCUCAUUUGCAGCGGGUGAGCUUUCGUUUUUGGAAUACAAAUACAAUUUAGGAUCCCUCUUUACACUCUGGCUCUGCGUCAUCCCGCAGCUUCUUCAACAGAUUUUCUUUUUGCCCAUGGCAAUGUGAAACAAAGUUUUGUUUUUUUGUUUUUUGUUUUUUUUUUUUUUUUGCUUCCCAAAAUGACAAUAUUGAGAACAUCUGGUUUGUAGCCAUCUUAAAGUUUGUUCUGCAAUGCCAUUAGGUUUAAACAUCCGUCAUUAAAUCAAGGGAUUGACAAAAUGCUCUGAGUUGAAUUGCAACAGAGGGUACUACAUAAUUAUCUUUUUUUUGGAAACAAAUUGAAAAAGAGUUAAUUGUCUCUUCUUGAAGAGUGUGGGUCCAAAUCACCAAAGGUAUCUGUUUUCUUUUCCAAAUGAGAAAAUGUAUUUAAUUUAUUCUACUAAUUUUCCAUUUUCUGUCCCACUGACUACUAUAUUUAAUUAUUCUAAAUCUCUCUCCACAUAAAGACAGUGAUGCGCUUCUGACAGUCAUUACAAAGAUAUUGUUUUGUAAAUGUCUUUGCCUAUUUGAAAAGCACUAAAAGUUUUCAGCAGUUUUGCCCCCCACUGGUUUCCUAGGCAGGCACGGAUCAAUAUGUCAUUUGAUAAAAUACAGUGCAGGGACACUACCCCAUCAGAGUCCGGGUUCUCCUGACGUCUCCUGGUGCCAGCAUCUUGCUCUGUUUUCACGUUCUCCGGGAAAGAAGAACUGAUCAAACAUAACGUGCACUGUGAUUAGCUGUUUAAGCUGAAAGUGAUAACAGAUGAAUAUCAUUAAGACUCCAGGACCUCUUAAAUCCAGAAAGAAAACUAAGGCUGGAUGAGUAAAGAGGCUGGCAGGUUGCCCUUCAGUACCCAGCUGAACAGCUCAUCCACUGUGAGGGAAGUCAUAUGCGAUUGAUUAAAUAUAAGCUCUCUAGACAGCCUGAUACCACUCCCAAAGCUUUUACAGUGAUGUCUUUCCCAAGUGGUGGAAUGAAGCAGCUUUUCUCUGCUUUAUUGGGAAAUGGGAAAACCCUGGUGUCUUCCUUUUAUUCCCUAAGUUCAAGCUGCUUUUAGUUAUCAUUUAUGUAAAGGAUUAGAUAAUGUGAGAAUAUUUAUUAUGCUUGAAAAACAUCAUUUUUAGUCAAAUUUUAAAGUUUCAAUUUUUAUUUUAAAGACGGGGGUACAUGUGCAGGUUAGUUACACGGGUAGAUUGCACCCAGAUAGUAAGCAUAGUUACCCAAGAGGUCGUUUUUCAACUCAUCCCUCCAAAAAAAUUUUUAAAAGAAUUUGCUUCUUAAGAAAUCUAGUAUAUAGAAACACUAUCUUUUCUGUAUGUAAUUAUUUUUAGUUUGGAUAAGAUACCUUUUUUUGAAUGGUUACUAAAUUAUUCAGAAUGCUAGAUCCCAAAGCACAAAGAAAGAGAAUAAAAAUUAAGCAAAAGCAGGGUCU